rnacentral:rRNA from 1 species
AGAACGAACGCUGGCGGCAUGCCUAACACAUGCAAGUCGAACGAGACCUUCGGGUCUAGUGGCGCACGGGUGCGUAACGCGUGGGAACCUGCCCUUAGGUUCGGAAUAACUCCUCGAAAGGGGUGCUAAUACCGGAUGAUGUCUUCGGACCAAAGAUUUAUCGCCUAUGGAUGGGCCCGCGUUGGAUUAGCUAGUUGGUGAGGUAAAGGCUCACCAAGGCGACGAUCCAUAGCUGGUCUUAGAGGAUGAUCAGCCACACUGGGACUGAGACACGGCCCAGACUCCUACGGGAGCAGCAGUGGGGAAUAUUGGACAAGUGGGCGAAAGCCUGAUCCAGCAAUGCCGCGUGAGUGAUGAAGGCCUUAGGUGUAAAGCUCUUUUACCGGGAUGAUAAUGACAGUACCGGAGAACUAAGCCCCGACUAACUCCGUAGCCCAGCAGCCGAC